rnacentral:sRNA from 1 species
GACACCCGAAAGCAACAGCUCCAAAUGGCCCUUUCUGCUUUGGACAAAGCAUACUCCGAUGAAAUUCGAGCAAUCGACAAAAGAAUCGAAGAAACCCUGCAGGAAAUUGACACCUUCCUCAAAAACGGCUCACAAGAGACCUUGCCCAAGCAUCGCGCCGUCUCUUCAGACUCGGAAACUCAAAUCCGUCGUGACCACACCCGCAUCGUCAGGGUGUCUCUCCAGAAAAUACUCCAGUUCUGCCAUGACGAGCCAGACUCCAUCGAGGCCGUCUUCCAGCUCCUCCGAUCCCUGGCGGCAUCUGCAUCCCUCGUCCCGUUCCAAGCGCCAGUCGACUGUGCCCUCUGUAUCCGCCGACUCAAGGAGCGUGACAGGAACGUGUCUCGUAGGGCAUCCAAUCCCCAAGCGAGCGACCACACGAAGACUCGCGACACGACGACGACAGCCACGGGCAUUUCUCGAAGCACGCACUACAGUCUCGAGCCCGACAACGAAGUAAGGAGCGCACACUCGCGCGAGAAUGCCACAAAUGUGACGCAUGCCUCGGGAUUGAACUUGGAGACGGAGCCCAUAGAAGAUGUCAAGGUCCUGUGGCGCUGCGUCUGCUACCAUGUUGCCGAAUAUGUCGUCCAGACGCUGACUACCUCCAGCUUGUUCCUCUCGCUGACCAACAGCCUUAUCAAGAAGUCGAAAUGGGAAGGCUACUUCGAGGUCCUGAGAGUAGCCUUCACUCCCACGCAGAUCCGUCGGAUCCACCAGUCGGUUCGAACCGAACAGCUGAGACGUUUCGAAUGCGCCUGCGACGACGUCGCGUGUCUCGGUUGCCUGAGCAACUUCUGCAUUCGCGGACUCGUCGAAGACGUCUCGUUCCUCUGUGUCGGAGAGUUCUGCCCCGUGGUCAUCACGUGGCGAGAGCUGCAAGGGCCUUACGUCACCCGGAUACGCGAUCAUGUCACCCUGCUCCUGCGAGAGCUUGCGAGUUCGUCCCGCCAGGUUUCGAAGAGCGGCGCAGCUUCUGGAGGUUUGUCUCAAGCCUCCAAUAAGGCACUGACUCAAGACCUCGGCAAUGUACCCAAGUUGCUCCGCUGCCUCGCCAAUCCGAACAUCUGCUCGAGCAACAACGAGGACAUGGAAAAACAUGCAAAGCCAGCGGAGGGGAGGCCGGCCACCUUCGAAAACGCAUCCCCAAAAGCGAAGAUUGCUACAAGGCGGCAAGAGAGCAGGAAGCACGGAUCCUUGCCAACAUUGGUCAAGCAGCUUUCCGGAUCUAACGGCGUCGAAGAUGCAGAUGACACAGGCGACUGGCCGAGUGUGGUGACGAUUGGGCUCGUUGAAGAGCUCCACUGGUUUGAGCGGCAGCUGAACUGCGUAUACAACUUUGAUUCGUGCAUGGGAGGUGGAGAUGCCCCGUGCGGGUACCCUUUUGCAAUGGCGUCAAACAGCCCGGAAGAGUCUCCAGUUCAUGACUCGGACAAUGACGACGACGAAACCAACGCUUGCUUCUGGGACUGGAGGGGUCUACUGGCUUCCAAUGGACUACUGACGUUGCUGCAACGUAGCAUUCAGGACGACAUACUGCUAGAACGAAAAGCGCUGCCCAUGAGUGGAUGGGAAAGCACCGAGCUGGCAGACGUCUGCGGAAGCUGCGUCAAGGUGACUGCCUCGGCGUCCCAGGCUGUGGCGCACCUCGACAGGUACUCGAGGGUGGCGUCUGCAUCCCGGGCGGGCCUGUCUCCGUUCCGGGCAUCCUUCAGUCAUGCCGUACACGUGCGCAUCGACGAAGCCUUGGCCGACGUCGAAGCCGUCAUUGCAGAAAAGCACAACGUGCCCGACGCGCUUGCGGUUGCGCUCAACACCGCCCUCUACUUGGCCGAGGCAGUGGGCAGGUUCUCAACUGCCCUCGCAGGUGGUGGCAAGUCGAAGGAGGCGGACAAAGAGGGAACAAGCGGUGAGCUCCAUGGCGUCCAGCAGAGGGCAAACAAAGCGGCCUCUUCGGCGGAAAUGCAGAUCUCUCUGCACCACCUCAAGUGGCUCUCUGGCUGCGUCGCCCAAGAUGCCGGCAGCCACGACUGGGCUGGCCGGGGCGUCUUUCACGAGGGCAGCCGUCCCUCAUUCACGGUGCAAGCCUGGAACAUGUACCUGCAAGGCCUCAGGAGCGACCUGUGCAGGGACGUGCCCUGGGACAAGGCGAGGUCACUUCUGGCCGAAGUCCUGGCAAAGACCCUGCAGCAGGAGAGCUUCCGCUACGCCGGGAUCAGGCCCUCUGAGCAGCGGCUGCCCCAGCUGGUGGCGGACAUUGGAACCCUGCUCUUGUGUGCCUAUGACGCCCUCUUUGCAGUCAGCACCACGCCGGGAGAAGUGCUCGGACACCGCCGCCACCAUUCUGUCGACUUCCAAGAUCGGGCCGACGAGGCAUUCUACGUCGAGGCCAUCCACAGCCACUGCACAGUGCUGCUGGCGACACUGUGCGUGGCCACAGCCCCACUGGAGGCCGUGUACCGGGACUUCAAGUGCGGCUACCCCGAGCCCUCCCCCAAUGCGGACCUGGUGGCCUUCUCCCCGUGGCUGGCGUGGGCACGUCCGGGGCUCUUCCAGUGGCCCCCCUGGGCCAGGCCGCUGCCCAGCGUUGCCGUCUGGGUGCCGGUUGCCAUGUGCCUGGCAUCGCCCAGGCCGGACCCCCAACUUGUCGUCCGGGUGAUUAGAGCUCGCUCUGUGGGCACACUAAAGAAAAAUCGAGUUUGGGGGUUUUACGUGCUACACAACAAAUGGCAUCCGGCAGACUUUUGCAAAGGACUGAGGAAUAAUUUUGAGUGCCUGGGGAUAUCCUUUGUCGUGAAACCAGAAUCUUGGUUGCACGGCGCCCCUUCCGCAAUCAGCCUCCGUCAGGUUGCGGCGCCUCUUACGGGAGUGGCCAACGCUGCUGCGGUCAUUUUUCCGCCUUAAAGGGAGGGGCAGAAAAGUUUCUAGGCUAA